rnacentral:tRNA from 1 species
GGGGUUAUAGCUCAGUUGGGAGAGCGGCGCGUUCGCAAUGCGCAGGCCACCGGUUCGAACCCGGUUAACUCCACCA